rnacentral:rRNA from 1 species
GAUGAACGCUGGCGGCGCGCCUAACACAUGCAAGUCGAACGGCACCCCUCUCCGGAGGGAAGCGAGUGGCGAACGGCUGAGUAACACGUGGAGAACCUGCCCCCUCCCCCGGGAUAGCCGCCCGAAAGGACGGGUAAUACCGGAUACCCCGGGGUGCCGCAUGGCACCCCGGCUAAAGCCCCGACGGGAGGGGAUGGCUCCGCGGCCCAUCAGGUAGACGGCGGGGUGACGGCCCACCGUGCCGACAACGGGUAGCCGGGUUGAGAGACCGACCGGCCAGAUUGGGACUGAGACACGGCCCAGACUCCUACGGGAGGCAGUAGUGGGGAAUCUUGCGCAGUGGGGGGAACCCUGACGCAGCCACGCCGCGUGCGGGACGGAGGCCUUCGGGUCGUAAACCGCUUUCAGCAGGGAAGAGUCAAGACUGUACCUGCAGAAGAAGCCCCGGCUAACUACGUGCCAGCAGCCGCGGUAAUACGUAGGGGGCGAGCGUUAUCCGGAUUCAUUGGGCGUAAAGCGCGCGUAGGCGGCCCGGCAGGCCGGGGGUCGAAGCGGGGGGCUCAACCCCCCGAAGCCCCCGGAACCUCCGCGGCUUGGGUCCGGUAGGGGAGGGUGGAACACCCGGUGUAGCGGUGGAAUGCGCAGAUAUCGGGUGGAACACCGGUGGCGAAGGCGGCCCUCUGGGCCGAGACCGACGCUGAGGCGCGAAAGCUGGGGGAGCGAACAGGAUUAGAUACCCUGGUAGUCCCAGCCGUAAAC